rnacentral:rRNA from 1 species
GGCUCAGGAUGAACGCUAGCGACAGGCCUAACACAUGCAAGUCAGGGGCAGCACAAGGAGCAAUCUGAGGUGGCGACCGGCGCACGGGUGAGUAACACGUAUGCAACCUGCCUGUAAGCGGGGAAUAACCCGUUGAAAGACGGACUAAUACCGCAUAAUACUAAAUUACUGCAUGGUAAUUUAUUUAAACAUUUAUGGCUUACAGAUGGGCAUGCGCAUGAUUAGCUAGUUGGAGAGGUAACGGCUCCCCAAGGCAACGAUCAUUAGGGGUUCUGAGAGGAAGGUCCCCCCACACUGGUACUGAGACACGGACCAGACUCCUACGGGAGGCAGCAGUGAGGAAUAUUGGUCAAUGGACGAGAGUCUGAACCAGCCAAGUCGCGUGCAGGAAGAAUGUCCUAUGGAUUGUAAACUGCUUUUGCAGGGGAAUAAAGUGCAUCACGUGUGAUGUUUUGUAUGUACUCUGCGAAUAAGGAUCGGCUAACUCCGUGCCAGCCGCGGC